GGGGCCGUGGCUCAGUGGUAGAGCAUCUGCUUUGCAUGCAGAAGGUCCCAGGUUCAAUCCUUGGCCUCUCCA